UCAGACGAUGCGUCAUGCAUAUCAAUAAGCGGAGGAAAAGAAACUAACAAGGAUUCCCUCAGUAACGGCGAGUGAAGCGGGAAGAGCUCAAAUUUGAAAUCUUGAAAGGUCACCUUUCACGAAUUGUAGUUUAAAGAAGUGUUUUCUGUUACGAUCGUAAUAUAAGUUCUUUGGAAUAGGACAUCACAGAGGGUGAGAAUCCCGUCUAUGAUUGCGAUCUGUAGCUUUGUGAUACACUUUCAAAGAGUCGGGUUGUUUGGGAAUGCAGCCCAAAACGGGAGGUAAAUUUCUUCUAAGGCUAAAUAUUGGCGAGAGACCGAUAGCGAACAAGUACCGUGAGGGAAAGAUGAAAAGAACUUUGAAAAGAGAGUUAAAUAGUACGUGAAAUUGUCAAAAGGGAAGCGUUUAACACCAGUGUUGUUUUCUGAAAAUCAACCUCUGUUAGCUUUAUGCAUGUUUGUUUAGACCUAAUCAGCUAUCUUGCAUGUUCUAUUGUUUGCAGUGGUGCACUUUUCAGUUUACAGGUCAACAUCAGUUUUUUUUACCGUAAAAAAGUUAAAGAAAGGUAGCUCAUGGCUCCGGUCGUGAGUGUUAUAGUCUUUUUCCUAUGCGGUAGGAGAGACUGAGGUCUGCAGUGUAGGCUAUUUGGCUAGAUACUCAGGUGCUAUGUGAUACCAUUUCAUAAACAACUUGUUGAUUAUGUUUUGUCUAUUGCAUACUCGCUUGUACUAUCAUACCUACGCUUAGGAUGUUGAAGACUCUACAGAGAUA
rnacentral:rRNA from 1 species